GGGUCCUACGGGAGGCAGCAGUAGGGAAUUUUCGUCAAUGGGCGCAAGCCUGAACGAGCAAUGCCGCGUGAACGAAGAAGGUUUUCGGAUUGUAAAGCUCUGUUAGCAGGGAAGAGGAAGGACGGUACCUGCAGAGGAAGCCACGGCUAACUACGUGCCAGCAGCCGCGGUAAUACGUAGGUGGCAAGCGUUGUUCGGAAUAACUGGGCGUAAAGGAUGCGUAGGCGGUUAAACAAGUUAUAUGUUAAAUAUAUAGGCUUAACCUGUAGAAAGCAUAUAAAACUGUUUAACUAGAGUGCAGGAGA
rnacentral:rRNA from 1 species